rnacentral:sRNA from 1 species
CCUAGUAAGCGUGAGUCAUCAGCUCGCGUUGAUUACGUCCCUGCCCUUUGUACACACCGCCCGUCGCUACUACCGAUUGAAUGGCUUAGUGAGACCCUCGGAUUGUAGAUCGUGUCGUUGGCAACAACAUACGGUUCGCGAGAAGUUGGUCAAACUUGGUCAUUUAGAGGAAGUAAAAGUCGUAACAAGGUUUCCGUAGGUGAACCUGCGGAAGGAUCAUUAAAAGAGGGUCGUAAGACCUAUUUUUAAAACCUACCACCACCUCUCAUUGAGAUCUCUCCUUGGGAUGGAGGAGGUAUGGUUUUUUAAAGUCCAAUUAUUACAAAACAUAUAUCGUCUAACGACGAAACAAAACAAAAAUAAAUAUUUAAAAACUUUCAACAAUGGAUCUCUUGGCUCUCGCAUCGAUGAAGAACGCAGCGAAUUGCGAUAAGUAGUAUGAAUUGCAAAUUCUGUGAAUCAUCGAAUCUUUGAACGCAUAUUGCGCUCUCUGGUACUCCGGAGAGCAUGCCUGUUUGAGGGUAAUUAAUUAAAUCUUUGACCUUUUUUGGUCAAGGGAUAUGGGCACUCCGUGUUUAGCGCGGUCGCCUGAAAUGUAUGGUUGGUCUCAUCAAGUUGAGAUGUGUAAUAAUAUUUAUUUCGCAAAACGCUUGAUAAGCUACCAAGUUUUGAUCUAUCCAACUCGGUUAGAUGUGGUCAAAACAAAUAUUUUUGACAUUACCUCAAAUCAGGUAGGAAUACCCGCUGAACUUAAGCAUAUCAAUAAGCGGAGGAAAAGAAACUAACCAGGAUUCCCCUAGUAACGGCGAGUGAAGCGGGAAUAGCUCAAAUUUUAAAUCUGGCUGGCGUGGUCAGUCCGAGUUGUAAUUUGAAGAAGCGUAUAUCACGUUUUCGUUCGGGUUCAAGUUCCUUGGAAUAGGACAUCAGAGAGGGUGAGAAUCCCGUCUGUGAUCCGAUCGGUUGCGGUACGAUAUCGUUUCUAAGAGUCGAGUUGUUUGGGAUUGCAGCUCAAAAUGGGUGGUAAAUUCCAUCUAAGGCUAAAUAUUGGCGAGAGACCGAUAGCGAACAAGUACCGUGAGGGAAAGAUGAAAAGAACUUUGAAAAGAGAGUUAAACAGUACGUGAAAUUGUUGAUAGGGAAACGAUUGAAGUCAGUCAUGCCGGUGAGAAAUCAGCUCACAGGCUACUGUGGGUGCACUUUUUCGCAAGGCAGGUUAACAUCGGUUUCUGUUGCGUCAUAAUAAUUGUAGGAAGGUGGCUCCUUCGGGAGUGUUAUAGCCUAUUUUAGAUGGCGCGACGGGGACUGAGGAUUGCAGCGGAUGCCUUUGGCUACGGGUCUUGUCUCUGUCGAUCUUCAAUUAGCUUUCAGCUUGCUGAGAUCUGGUUGAUAGGUUUACAAUAGGUUUGAUUCCGUUAAAUUCGCUAAGGAUGUUGACGUAAUGGCUUUAAACGACCCGUCUUGAAACACGGACCAAGGAGUCUAACAUA